AGAGUUUGAUCAUGGCUCAGGACGAACGCUGGCGGCGUGCUUAACACAUGCAAGUCGAGCGAUGAGAUCCCUUCGGGGAUGGAUUAGCGGCGAACGGGUGAGGAACACGUGAAGAAUCUGCCUUCAACUCUGGGAUAACACCGGGAAACCGGUGCUAAUACCGGAUAUGAGCCUUGAUCGCAUGAUCGGGGCUGGAAAGUUUUUCGGUUGAAGAUGACUUCGCGGCCUAUCAGCUUGUUGGUGAGGUAAUGGCUCACCAAGGCGACGACGGGUAGCCGGCCUGAGAGGGCGACCGGCCACACUGGGACUGAGACACGGCCCAGACUCCUACGGGAGGCAGCAGUGGGGAAUAUUGGGCAAUGGACGAAAGUCUGACCCAGCGACGCCGCGUGAGGGAUGAAGGCCUUCGGGUUGUAAACCUCUUUCAGCAGGGAAGAAGCGAAAGUGACGGUACCUGCAGAAGAAGCACCGGCUAACUAUGUGCCAGCAGCCGCGGUAAUACAUAGGGUGCAAGCGUUGUCCGGAAUUAUUGGGCGUAAAGAGCUCGUAGGUGGUUAGUUACGUCGGAUGUGAAAAUCUAGGGCUCAACCCUAGACCUGCAUCCGAUACGGGCUAGCUUGAGUUUGGUAGGGGAGACUGGAAUUCCUGGUGUAGCGGUGGAAUGCGCAGAUAUCAGGAGGAACACCAAUGGCGAAGGCAGGUCUCUGGGCCAAUACUGACACUGAGGAGCGAAAGUGUGGGGAGCGAACAGGAUUAGAUACCCUGGUAGUCCACACAGUAAACGAUGGGCACUAGUUGUGGGAACCUUCCACGGUUUCUGCGACGCAGCUAACGCAUUAAGUGCCCCGCCUGGGGAGUACGAUCGCAAGAUUAAAACUCAAAGGAAUUGACGGGGCCCCGCACAAGCAGCGGAGCAUGCGGCUUAAUUCGACGCAACGCGAAGAACCUUACCAAGGCUUGACAUAUACAGGAAUAUGGCAGAGAUGUCAUAGCCGCAAGGUCUGUAUACAGGUGGUGCAUGGUUGUCGUCAGCUCGUGUCGUGAGAUGUUGGGUUAAGUCCCGCAACGAGCGCAACCCUCGUUCUGUGUUGCCAGCAUUUAGUUGGGGACUCACAGGAGACUGCCGGGGUCAACUCGGAGGAAGGUGGGGAUGACGUCAAAUCAUCAUGCCCCUUAUGUCUUGGGCUGCACGCAUGCUACAAUGGCUGGUACA
rnacentral:rRNA from 1 species